rnacentral:rRNA from 1 species
GAUGAACGCUAGCGACAGGCCUAACACAUGCAAGUCGAGGGGCAGCACAUGAGUAGCAAUACGAUGGUGGCGACCGGCGCACGGGUGAGUAACACGUAUGCAACCUACCUGUAAGAGGGGAAUAACCCGGAGAAAUUCGGACUAACACCGCAUAAUACUGCGAAGCUGCAUGGCUUUGCAGUUAAAUAUUUAUAGCUUACAGAUGGGCAUGCGUAACAUUAGAUAGUUGGUGAGGUAACGGCUCACCAAGUCAACGAUGUUUAGGGGUUCUGAGAGGAAGGUCCCCCACACUGGUACUGAGACACGGACCAGACUCCUACGGGAGGCAGCAGUGAGGAAUAUUGGUCAAUGGGCGAGAGCCUGAACCAGCCAAGUCGCGUGAAGGAAGAAGGUUCUAUGGAUUGUAAACUUCUUUUGUAAGGGAAUAAAAGAGUUACGUGUAACUUAUUGUAUGUACUUUACGAAUAAGGAUCGGCUAACUCCGUG